rnacentral:rRNA from 1 species
GAAUCAACGCUGGCGGCGUGCCUAACACAUGCAAGUCGAGCGGGAAAGGGGGCUUCGGUCCCUGAGUAUAGCGGCGGACGGGUGAGUAACACGUGGGUAAUUUGCCCUUGGGUGUGGAAUAACUCAGGGAAACUUGAGCUAAUACCGCAUGACAUCCCCUUCACACACGAGUUGGGGAUCAAAGCCGGGGACCCUUCGGGGCCUGGCGCCUGAGGAGAAGCCCGCGACCCGAUUAGCUAGUUGGGAGGUAAUGGCUCACCAAGGCUUCGAUCGGUAGCCGGCCUGAGAGGGCGGACGGCCACACUGGGACUGAGACACGGCCCAGACUCC